AUGGAUUUAAAUCCCCAGAUUCUGUGUUGGAACGUGCGGGGCCUUAACAACCCGGCUAAGCGUUUGGCGGUUAGGGAGUUUGUGCAGGCAGCCAAAGUUAACUUGGUUUGCCUGCAGGAGACAAAGUUGGAGACUGUUAACCACUUUGAUGUUAUGCAAUGUUUAGGUCCGUCCUUCGACGGCUAUUAUUACUUGCCGGCUUGUGAGACGAGGGGAGGGAUCCUGUUGGCGUGGGACUCCACGGUCAUGGGCAUUGACAGUUUCGUGCAUGACACCAAUUGUCUGUCCGGGCUAGUCCACAACAAAGAUGGGUCCAACUGA
rnacentral:rRNA from 1 species